CAGCCGCCACGGUAAUACGUAGGGUGCGAGCGUUAAUCGGAAUUACUGGGCGUAAAGCGUGCGCAGGCGGUUGUGUAAGACAGGUGUGAAAUCCCCGGGCUCAACCUGGGAAUGGCAGUGGAUACUGGCUCGCUAGAGGGUGGGAGAGGGUGGUGGAAUUCCCGGAGUAGCGGUGAAAUGCGCAGAUACCGGGAGGAACGCCGAUGGCGAAGGCAGCCACCUGGUCCACUUCUGACGCUGAGGCGCGAAAGCGUGGGGAGCAAACCGGAUUAGAUACCCCGGUAGUCCCUGUCUCUUAUAC
rnacentral:rRNA from 1 species